UCCGGUUUGAAGCCCCGCCCCCUUUAUGUGGCCCCGCCCACCCAGAGGGGACAGGGGAGGAGCCACAGAGCGAGGCCUUUAUUGGUGACACGAGGUGUGAGUUGACCCCAGGUGACCCCAGGUGACGUGAGGUGACACACGGGGGCGUGACCCUGAGUUGACCCUGAGUGACCCCAAGUGGCACUGGGUGACAUAAGGUGACCUCCGAUGACCCCAAGUGACCCCAGGCACCCCUGGGUGGCACUGGGUGCCAUGAGGUGACCUGGGGUGACACUGGGACUGUCCGAAUCGACACCGGGUGACCCCAGGUGACCCCCAGUGACCCGAGGUGCCCUUGGGUGACCCCAGGUGAUGACCCCCAGUGACCCCAGGUGCCAUGAGGUGACCUGGGGUGACACUGGGACUGCCCCUGAGUUGACCCCGGGUGACCCAAGGUGACCUCCGAUGGCCCCAGGUGACCCCAGGUGACCUCUGACGACCCCAAGCGACUCCAGGUGCCCCUGGGUGACCCCAGGUGAUGACCCCCAGUGACCCCAGGUGCCAUGAGGUGACCUGGGGUGACACUGCGUCUGCCCCUGAGUCGACCCCGGGUGACCCCAGGUGAGCUGGGAUGACCCCAGGUGACCCCAGGUGACCUCCGAUGACCCCAGGUGAGCUGGGAUGACCCCAGGUGACCCCAGUGUCACUUGCUGGGCGCCAGCCCGAUGCGGUCGUGGUCGCGAUCGAAGACGACGUAAUUCCGGACCAUGAAAACGUCCCCCAGGAUCCAUAUGGGCCCCGCGGGGGGGGGCACGUCCAGCUCCAUGAACCCACUGACACACGUCGGGGCGCCCGACUGAGACACCUGGGGGGGGGGAUGUGGGGACAGUGGUGGGGGGGCAUAUGGGGG
ensembl:lncRNA